CCUCCGGAGCCGACUGGCUGGGCGCGCGCGCAGUGGGUGGGGCUGAGGCCGGUGCCUCGCUGACCUCCAGCCUAGGCGGCACCUCCUGUGUUGCCCGCAGGCUUGUGGAGUGGCCUUGGGCAGUCUGACUUGGUUCCUCCUUACCGUGCUUGGCACAUCUUGGCCAGAGUCUAGCAGAAGCGCCGGGUUGUUAGCGAAGGAGAAUGGGGCCUGGUCCUGGAGAUGUGAGGGUUUGGAGGGCGGGACACUCCCCUUGGUGUAAUGUGGUUGGACCCCCGGACAAGCUGUUUAUCGCCCUGGUGAUCCCUGCUGCGCCGGGAGAAGAGCUGCAAACCGUAGAUUAUCGUCCAGAUUUUCACUCUGCAGUACCUAAUCUCUCCCCACCGACAGGUGUCACCUCUCAGAACAGAAAGGCUAACUUGCAGAAUUUAUUUGGUCUCAUCAACCACCUGCAAAAUGGGCGAAACAGAGUCUCACUGUACUGCCCUCAGGUAGAGUGCGGUGGCGUCACACGGCUCACAGCAACCUCUAACUCUUGGGCUUACGCGAUUCUCUUGCCUCAGCCUCCUGAGCAGCUGGGACUACAGGCGCCCUCCACAACACCUGGCUAUUUACUAUCCUUGGUUUUAACCAGCCACUGGGGGGCUUGGUACAUACCCCCUCAGAUAAGGGGGGAACUAGUGUAUUUAAAGAAAUGUAUGAUCUGCUAGUAUGCAUUUCUAUGUUAAUACAAUACAGUGUUUCUUUACUAGUACAUUAAAUGACAUGAUUUAUUCACAGGCUUAACAUCUCCCAUAAUUAUAAAGUAGAGAUUAUUUUGAGUUGUCUGUAACCUACAAUGUGAUAUGGAAAUAUUAAUUGUGAUUUUUAUUGAUAACAAUGUUAUAGGUACUGCUAGUACUACAAAGAUUUAUUUUGUACAUUAAAAAAAUUAAAUUUUAACUAGAGUUUAAAGAAUUUUUUAUUCUAUACAAGUUCAUGGAUCUGAUUUCUUUUGUAAAAUUUUUGUU